rnacentral:rRNA from 1 species
UACGUAGGGUGCGAGCGUUGUCCGGAUUUAUUGGGCGUAAAGCGCUCGCAGGUGGUUCGUCGCGUCGUGCGUGAAAGACCCCGGCUCAACUGGGGGAGGUCGUGCGAUACGGGCGGACUGGAGGCCAGUAGGGGGAUGCGGAAUUCCGGGUGUAGUGGUGGAAUGCGUAGAGAUCCGGAGGAACACCAGCGGCGAAGGCGGCAUCCUGGACUGGUCCUGACACUCAUGAGCGAAAGCGUGGGGAGCGAUCCGG